rnacentral:rRNA from 1 species
AAUNCCUCAUAGUAUUAUAAUCGGCAUCGAUUUAUAAUUAAAACUCCGGUGGUUAAAGAUGAACAUGCGUCCUAUUAGCUAGUUGGUGAGGUAACUGCUCACCAAGGCAACGAUAGGUAGGGGGCCUGAGAGGGUGAUCCCCCACACUGGUACUGAGACACGGACCAGACUCCUACGGGAGGCAGCAGUGAGGAAUAUUGCACAAUGGAGGAAACUCUGAUGCUAGCCAUGCCGCGUGCAGGAAGAAUGCCCUAUGGGUUGUAAACUGCUUUUCUGUAAGAAGAAAUACUAGUACGUGUACUUGUUUGACGGUACUACAGGAAAAGCACCGGG